GGCUGAGCACAGCUGGGGUGUGCUGCACCUGCAUCUCCGCCACUGCCUGUGUGGCACUCACCCAGAGUCCUGCACAGGGAUGAAUAACCAGAACUUGGACUUCAGUGAGAUGAAGGACCAUGCUGAGCAUCGUGUGCACGGAGAGCUAUCUGGCUGGACCAGAGCUCAAAGGAGAACGGGUAUUAUGGGCUGAUUCCUCCUUGAGGCUUGAAGCUGGUUGAGCACUGCCACCUUCUUUCCUUACUGCCCACCCUGCUACACCCACUCUGCAUACCACAAAGUAGCUCGACACAACUUGGCUACUCUUCUGCCUACUAUUGCUCUUUCAACUGAAGGGAGGAACCCAAACUCCUUGGCCAAGGUGAAGAACUAUCUAUAUAUGUUAUGCAAAUGGCACUAUUUUCAAUCUAAGCUGUGCUUGAAGAUACUGACUGCAAAGACACCUGUACUGAAGUUUCUAGACUUCACAGCAGGCUCUGGGAAUCCCACAUGGUGCUUAUACGAAAAAAUGCAGGAAGUCACAGCCAUUUCACAAACAGCAAUGAGAAACCUGGUCUGUGUAAUUAUGGCAUAUUUGCAGAGAGAUGUUUUCUCAUUAAAGGCCCCACCUUAAGUGCACUGAAUGAAGGGCAUGCUGUCCUGCAUGAUGCUGGCGUCAGAUCCUGACAAGGGGCCUGAGACACAGCUGUUAAGGACCUGCAUAUAUCGGAGUAUCCCUUUGCUCCUGGGACCCUUAACUCGGACUGAUCACAGAAGCAAACACAGACACAAACAUCCCAGGUCCCUGGGAGCAUUAUCCUCCCAUGAUAAUUCUAUCCUCGAGCUCUCUUGUCAGUUAUCUGCUUUACAACAAGCCUACAUCAUUUUGUAUUCUCUCUGCCAAAAGGCAACUUUUAAAAUGCUGUAAAAUAAAACUGUGUACAAAUUAAACAGUCAACACAUUUUACUUCUGCUCAGUAACUAAAAUACUUUCACUUCACUAUGUAAUCUGUAACUGCUGAAAUGUUUCAUGUCUGUUUAUAAGCCUUCCUGUAUUUUCUUCUCAUUACUUCAGAUACAUUUUAAAAGCUUGUUAAGAUAGAUUUGUUGGUAUUUUGUAUCUAGCUGACUGUGCAUGUUAAAGGCUUUGAGUGCAGCUUUCCUAACUUGAAAUACACUAUUUUUCAUGCUGCUUGUUAAA
ensembl:lncRNA